CCAUAUCAUUUUUCAAGUGUGUUUAAAAUUUGAAACAUACAAUUCGUAAUAUAUUUUGUCAAAUAUAUUUACAGACCCAAAAGAGAGUUAGAUUCAGAGUUUGCUACAACGUUCUUGUCACAGCCCAAAAUGAGCCAUGACUGGCGCUCAGGAAAAUAAUCCUAUAGCAAGCCUAGUAUACUCAAAUAUAAAUUGAAUAAGAAAGUUACAAAUAUUUUACAAGUUCUAAAAUAAAUAGUUUUACAUUUUAACAAAAAUUAAAAUAAUUAAGAAUAGUUGGACCCUGCCUGUGACAUAUGGAGCAUAUACUACUAGGAAUUCGACAAGAAAUAGGUACUCAUUGCAGACCGUUACUCUUGAAUAGAAAGUCUCACAUAGUCAAAUAUUUGUUCCUGAAAAAUAUUUUUAAAAAAAAAGGAGUAAGUUUUGCAACUCAGUGACUAGACAAUACAUUUAUAAUCGACUUGAGACCAUAUAAAUAUCAUUAUCAAAGUAAUAUUAAUUAGAAAAUAAUAGUUGAUAAUAAUAGGUGAAUCAAUAAGGGAGUUCUCAUACAGAAAUCAAAUCAAAAGUCCACACAUAGGCGGCUCCACCUCUAUGGGUAGCCCUUUCCUCUUGUGUGUCCUAACAGAAUAACAGAUCUAACGUGUGGCCUACACGUUAGGCUAGCAACACCCCUGCUGGCUGGAGUCUGAGUCAGAUGCAUCUAAGUUAACGUCAUAACCACCGUUAACUACAGUUUUCUAAUACGAGCCUCCCAAACCAAUUCAAAACAUAUAAUCUCAAAUACAAUAAAUCUUUAAUCUCUCAAAUAUAUAAAGUAUCGAAUCAAAUCAAUCAGAUAAUACUUUCUUAUCAGAAAUCUUUUCAAAUCAUUUUUUUUCAAUCAUAAAAACAUAUUUCAUAAUUUAAAAGUGAGUGCCAACAAAUACGUUAAUAUUUCAGGAAUAUAUAUUCGAAUAAAAUCAAUAUUCUAAAUUAAUAUAAAGCUUAAUCAAACAUAUAUAUUGUCUCAUGUAAAAUUUCUAAAGUAUGAAUUUCAUAAAAAUAAUUAUUCAUCUAUAAUAAAUCAAUUAUUCUAAUCAAAUCAAAGUUUUUCAAUAAUAGUUUUAUAAAUAUAGUUAAAAACUCGUAAUAGCAUAAGCCAAAAGCUUAUCGGUCACAGCAUGGUCCUAACGGACCGAAGAGACCAAACCCAAAGUGCGUCUCACCACAGCGAUAAUGACCACAACACCAGGAAGUCAUUUCAAAUCGAAUAUAGAGACAGGCAGAUAAAAUUCAGAACAGUGGCAAGGUAGUGUUGCCGAUGAGUUUGGAAGCUCCGGCGUGUUUUCCGGCGACGUUAGCGCCGUUCCUGGCGACUAGAGGCACGGCGACGAGUCUCCCUCUCCUCCAGCGAGUUCCUUAUCCCCCCUCUGUUCGUGUAUAGUGAUGUUUCUCUUUCUGCGAACUCUCUCUCUCGUUCUCUCUCUCCCGUUCGAGCUCCUCUUCCCGGAAACCCAGCGGUGGUAGCGGCGGCGCAGCAGCUCGGCGACGGGGCAGAACGGCGGCAGUCCUUCUUCCGCGUCUCCUCUCUCGCGCUCGUCCCCUCUCUCAGACGCAUCUCUCUCGAUUCUGGCCCCUGAUGGCGACGCAACGCGAGACGAACGGCGGGCUCCAGGCCAGCGGUGAUGAGGCGCGGCUCUCUCUCUCCUCGCGUGGUGACUCGGUGUGGACAGCUCCCUCCUUCCUCCUCCCUUCUCUUUUUUGCGGUCUCCCUCUUCUCUCUUUUCCUUUUCUUUCUUUCUUUUUCCGUCAAGUUUGGGUGUGUGUGUUGUGGGGAAGAGAGUGAGGCGAGUGAGGGUGUGUGCGGCAGCGGGAGGUGAGUGAGAGAGUGUGUGGCUAGGGUUAGGGUUAGAAGAAAGUGUAGUUCUAUGUGUUUGUUUCUAUCCCAGGAUUAAUCUUUCCUACAAGAUACUUCUUAAGAAAUACUUCCUAGC
rnacentral:lncRNA from 1 species